GCAUCGAUGAAGAACGCAGCAAAUUGCGAAAAUUAAUGUGCAUUGCAGUACGUGAAUCAUCGAGUCUUUGAACGCAGCUUGCACUCUGGAUUACUCCAGAGUAUGCCUAUUUGAGUAUCAGUUAAACCCCUCUCUCAAACCCCCAAGUGUGGUGGUUUGGGGAUUUUCUGAGUCAUGCAUAUGUAUACAUGCUGAUUUGAAUCCUAGUGAAUCGGGUCUAUGCUCAUGUGGCGCGCCCUCUGUCUGGUGUUUGGCGUGAUAAAUGUAAUGUUGUGUUUCUCGUCAACCUCUCACCCUAGACAUGGUGGCCUCAUAGAUCUAAUCACCCCCCCCAACAAUAUCUCUCCUUUGAUCUCAAAUUAGGUAGGACUACCCGCUGAACUUAAGCAUAUCAAUAAGCGGAGGA
rnacentral:rRNA from 1 species